GACGAACGCUGGCGGCGUGCUUAACACAUGCAAGUCGAACGAUGAAGAAAAGAAUUGAAGCUUCGGCAGAAAUUCAUUUCGGAUUAGUGGCAGACGGAUGAGUAACGCGUGAGCAACCUACCUCUUACAAAGGGAUAGCCUCGGGAAACCGGGAUUAAUACCAUAUAACAUUGCGACGAAGCAUUUCGAUGCAAUCAAAGCUACGGCGGUAAGAGAUGGGCUCGCGUCCCAUUAACCAGAUGGUGAGGUAACGGCUCACCAUAGUAACGAUGGGUAACCGGCCUGAGAGGGUGAACGGUCACACUGGAGCUGAGACACGGUCCAGACUCCUACGGGAGGCAGCAGUGGGGAAUAUUGCACAAUGGAGGGAACUCUGAUGCAGCGACGCCGCGUGAGUGAUGAAGGAAUUCGUUUCGUAAAACUCUGUUCUAUGGGAAGAAAAGGACUGUACCAUAGGAGAAAGCUCCGGCUAAAUACGUG
rnacentral:rRNA from 1 species